GCACUUGUCUACAUGGAAGGACCAGCUCUGCAUUGGAUGCGUUGGUUGAGAUAACGUACUCUAAAUGUUUUUUGGCUUCAGCUUACCCAUGAGUUGGUUCACCGCUAUGGAGGAGACAUACGUGCUAACCCUUAUGAGCAUUUGGCCAACAUACACCAAGAUAAAUCUAUUGAUGACUAUAUUGAUGCUUUCGUCGCCAUUGCUUCGCUGGUUGAGGGCCU
rnacentral:misc_RNA from 1 species